CACAUCCAUCUAUUGGUCUGCCUUUACUCGCAUAACUCUAAACCUCUCACAAAAUCCGGUAAUGGCUAAGCAACAACUCCAUUUCUUUGAGCUCAGGGCAGGCCGGAGUAGGAAUGUCAAGAAAGGUGGAGAUUUGAUGGGUAUGGAUCUGAUCCUGCUUGAUGGAAAGGUAACUGAGACAUUCUCUGUUUCUCAGUUCUUGUGAUUGAAACUCUGCUUUUGUGCUGUUUUGUUCAAAUGAUUUGUUGCCCAUUAUCUCUUUCCUCUGUCUAUGAUCUUACCAUGCUAUUUCUCUCUCAGUGUUUAUAUCGUUGAUUUUGCUAGAGAUUUUGAUGUUCCAGGCUGUUGUAGUUUCGCAGUGAAACUGAAUGUUUUCCUGAGUUUUGCUUCUUUAUUUUUAUUCUCUAGGGGUUUCU
rnacentral:lncRNA from 1 species